AAGGAUAUGCUAUUCCUUAUUCAGAAUGAUUUUUUUGGUUUCUUUGCAUUACCAUACCCGUGUUUGCAAGUAUUUUUGGUCAUCACAAAUGCAAGUUCUUACCAGUGAAAGGUACCAGUGCAAGUAUAUUUGUUUUCUGCAUCAGUUCCUAAUAACACCCAAAUUUGUACUGCCAUAAAAUAUUCACAUUCCCUACCUUAGUGACAUCAUUUGUUCAGAUAUAUUCAGAAAUGUCUUUGAGGGUGCUGCUACUUUACAUCAUUUUAUGGUCAGAUGUAAGAUUAGGCUCCACUAUGUCCUUUCUUGAAAUUAUUUUUCUUUACAACCAUCUGCUGAUUAAAAAUAAAAAAAUGAUUACAAUUUUUGUACAGAUCAAUGUGAGCUGAAAUAACUUCCGGUACCAUUUCAUAUUUUUUUUUCUUUCUAGUCCAUUAUUAUUUUCCUCAUUUUUUUAUUGUGUCCCAUAAACUAAAAAUAUCAGUUCAUAUUGUUUUCCUUGUUGAGCUUUCUAACAUUGCACCAUGUAUGUUAUCAAAUUGUCAAUUGUAGAUCACUGAGUCUACUAGCCAGAGAUCUGAAGUGUAUGUGGAUACAGAUCAAUGUGAGCUGCAAUUUUGUGAACGUGUAAAGCUGGGUUAGUUUCUAGUCUCAUGCACACGUGACACAUCACUCAUUCACUCAUGUGGAUCGUGGGUCAACGACUCAGCGUAUACCCAUACCCAAAACUCUGUAACGAAAUUGCUGGUGGGCAGCAACAGGAACAGCCGAACAGGACCACGUCAAUGGAAGUGGGAGCAGCCGCCGCCGGCAAGCUGAAUGCGGAGCUGUUUCAGUGGUUGGCGUUCGGCCGCGUGAUCCCGUUCAGGGCAUGUUCGGUUUGAAGGGGUUUGAGGGGGAUUGGAGGGGAUUAAAUCCCCUCCUAUUUAAAUUUGUAUAGAAGGGGAUUUAAUCCC
rnacentral:lncRNA from 1 species